rnacentral:misc_RNA from 1 species
GAACGCACCUUGCGCUCCUUGGUAUUCCGAGGAGCAUGCCUGUUUGAGUGUCAUGUAAUUAUCAACUCCCUUUCUUUGCUGAAAGGUGAGCUUGGACUUGGGGACUUGCUGGUGAUUCAUCAGCUUCCCUGGAAUGCAUUAGCUGGUCAUUGAUUUGCAGCAUAUAUGCGGUGUGAUAAUGUCGUCACUGUGUAGCUCAAGUCAUCUGGCUUCCAAUUGUCUUUGCGGACACUUUGAUCAAUUUGACCUCAAAUCAGGUAGGACUACCCGCUGAACUUAAGC